GACGAACGCUGGCGGCGUGCUUAACACAUGCAAGUCGAACGGAAAGGCCCUGCUUUUGUGGGGUGCUCGAGUGGCGAACGGGUGAGUAACACGUGAGUAACCUGCCCUUGACUUUGGGAUAACUUCAGGAAACUGGGGCUAAUACCGGAUAGGGGCUCCUGCUGCAUGGUGGGGGUUGGAAAGUUUCGGCGGUUGGGGAUGGACUCGCGGCUUAUCAGCUUGUUGGUGGGGUAGUGGCUUACCAAGGCUUUGACGGGUAGCCGGCCUGAGAGGGUGACCGGCCACACUGGGACUGAGAUACGGCCCAGACUCCUACGGGAGGCAGCAGUGGGGAAUAUUGCACAAUGGGCGGAAGCCUGAUGCAGCAACGCCGCGUGCGGGAUGACGGCCUUCGGGUUGUAAACCGCUUUCGCCUGUGACGAAGCGUGAGUGACGGUAAUGGGUAAAGAAGCACCGGCUAACUACGUGCCAGCAGCCGCGGUGAUACGUAGGGUGCGAGCGUUGUCCGGAUUUAUUGGGCGUAAAGGGCUCGUAGGUGGUUGAUCGCGUCGGAAGUGUAAUCUUGGGGCUUAACCCUGAGCGUGCUUUCGAUACGGGUUGACUUGAGGAAGGUAGGGGAGAAUGGAAUUCCUGGUGGAGCGGUGGAAUGCGCAGAUAUCAGGAGGAACACCAGUGGCGAAGGCGGUUCUCUGGGCCUUUCCUGACGCUGAGGAGCGAAAGCGUGGGGAGCGAACAGGCUUAGAUACCCUGGUAGUCCACGCUGUAAACGGUGGGUACUAGGUGUGGGGUCCAUUCCACGGGUUCCGUGCCGUAGCUAACGCUUUAAGUACCCCGCCUGGGGAGUACGGCCGCAAGGCUAAAACUCAAAGGAAUUGACGGGGCCCCGCACAAGCGGCGGAGCAUGCGGAUUAAUUCGAUGCAACGCGUAGAACCUUACCUGGGUUUGACAUGGAUCGGGAGUGCUCAGAGAUGGGUGUGCCUCUUUUGGGGUCGGUUCACAGGUGGUGCAUGGCUGUCGUCAGCUCGUGUCGUGAGAUGUUGGGUUAAGUCCCGCAACGAGCGCAACCCUUGUUCACUGUUGCCAGCACGUUAUGGUGGGGACUCAGUGGAGACCGCCGGGGUCAACUCGGAGGAAGGUGGGGAUGACGUCAAGUCAUCAUGCCCCUUAUGUCCAGGGCUUCACGCAUGCUACAAUGGCUGGUACAGAGAGUGGCGAGCCUGUGAGGGUGAGCGAAUCUCGGAAAGCCGGUCUCAGUUCGGAUUGGGGUCUGCAACUCGACCUCAUGAAGUCGGAGUCGCUAGUAAUCGCAGAUCAGCAACGCUGCGGUGAAUACGUUCCCAGGGCU
rnacentral:rRNA from 1 species